CCUCUCAUAGCGUAGUGGUAACGCGCCCCAACUAGCGAUCGGGGAGUCGUGAGUUGGAUUCUCACUGAGAAGA
rfam:Aedes aegypti strain Liverpool supercont1.998 genomic scaffold, whole genome shotgun sequence.